GGCGGGCAGGGCCGGGGCUGAGGCGCUGAUCCGGGCCGUGACCUUCAGGCCGAGCCGCGGGCCCGGCGGAGCGAGGCACCAUGUGGCACUUCCCUACCUCACAAAAACCUCGCCCGUCUUGCGAACGGUUCACCGUCUCGCCAUCUUCUCCCCCGCUCCUUCAACUCGACGGAUUCACACCAACUUUCUACCAAAAAAAGAAAGCCCUAAAAAUGGUCUCCAACGGAUGCUGGCAUCGCCAUCCCAACUGUGGCGCUGGCUGUGCCGUUCAAUCCGCUGGCCGAGGGUUUCGGGGGCAGAAGGAGGCUGUGAGGAAAGUGGCAGUGCCCGCUGUGGGGAGGUGCAGGCGGGGCUGAGGCGCCGCCAUCGGCGCUCUCUGUGUGCCCCAAACUCGUUUCAAUCAUAAAUUUUGCUGUAAAUCU
rnacentral:lncRNA from 1 species